UAUUAAAUUAGAAAAAAUGAUUGAGUGUGAAAAUGAAUAAACUAGUGGCAGGCUGUGUGGAUUUGAUUAAGGGAGACCUUAACAAACCUAUUUAACAUGUGAUAAUAAAAUGGCAGCAAAAACUAAACAUUGAUAUUAGUUGUGAGGAACGGACAGAAUCACAGAAUUGCUUAAAUCUGUCGGAGAUCCAUUAUAAACUCUUUAAAAAAAUGGUAUCUGGUCCCAAGUAGGCUCUAUAGGAUUUACCCCAACAUCUCAGAGAGAUGCUGGAGAUGCCAUGCUCACAGAGGAGAUUUCCUGCAUAUAUGGUGGGAAUGUCAACCUAUCUAACUAUUUUGGAAAAUGUUACACAUAGAAAUUCAAACCUUACUUUCAAAAACUAUUGAUUUCAAACCCCAGACUUCUAUUACUAUUAAACACUCAAAACAAUUUUGGUCCCG